rnacentral:tRNA from 1 species
GGAGAGGUGGCAGAGUGGUCGAAUGCGCUGGUUUGCUAAACCGGUGAACCGCCAAAAGCGGUUCCGUGGGUUCGAAUCCCAUCCUCUCCGCCA